UGUGGACCAUACAUUGUUAGUUCUAUUAAGUUAUGGUCUGAGAAAAUCGUCAGUGUCACCUUAACAUUAUGGAUAUGGCCGUGUUGUUUGUGAAGCAGAGGUCCUGGGCAUUUUUUCCCCCUUCUUGGUCUUUUGAUGAAAAAUCACA